GACGAACGCUGGCGGCGUGCUUAACACAUGCAAGUCGACAUGAGUGGCGAACGGGUGAGUAAUCCGUGGGUAACCUGCCCUCCUUUUUGGGAUAAGCCAUGGAAACGGGGUCGAAUACCUAAUAAAGGGGGAUGGGCUCGCGGCCUAUCAGCUGGUUGGUGGGGUGCGGGCCUACCAAGGCGGUGACGGGUAGCCGGCCUGAGAGGGGGAACGGCAAAAGUGUGACGGGGGUACGGCCCAGAGUCCUACGGGAGGAAGCAGUGGGGGAUAUUGCACAAUGGGCGAAAGCAUGAUGCAGCGACGCCGCGUGGGGGAUGAAGGCUUUCGGGUUGUAAACCUCUUGCGCAAUCGAGCGGGUAGGUGGAGAAGAAGCGCCGGCUAACUACGUGCCAGCCGCGGCGGUAAUAC
rnacentral:rRNA from 1 species